rnacentral:rRNA from 1 species
AUUGAACGCUGGCGGAAUGCUUUACACAUGCAAGUCGAACGGCAGCACGGGGCAACCUGGUGGCGAGUGGCGAACGGGUGAGUAAUACAUCGGAACGUGCCCAAUCGUGGGGGAUAACGUAGCGAAAGUUACGCUAAUACCGCAUACGAUCUACGGAUGAAAGCGGGGGAUCGCAAGACCUCGCGCGAAUGGAGCGGCCGAUGUCAGAUUAGGUAGUUGGGGGGGUAAAGGCUCACCAAGCCGAAGAUCUGUAGCUGGUCUGAGAGGACGACCAGCCACACUGGGACUGAGACACGGCCCAGACUCCUACGGGAGGCAGCAGUGGGGAAUUUUGGACAAUGGGCGCAAGCCUGAUCCAGCCAUUCCGCGUGCAGGAUGAAGGCCUUCGGGUUGUAAACUGCUUUUGUACGGAACGAAACGGUGAGCUCUAAUACAGUUUGCUAAUGACGGUACCGUAAGAAUAAGCACCGGCUAACUACGUGCCAGCCGCCGCAGUAAUAC